AUGGCUCUUGGUACUCUGGUUAUCAUUGCCACCAUGCUGGUGUAUUUUCUCUUGAGAAAUAAAAGAGUGCUAUUGUCCCAGAAGCAACGGGGGCGACAAGGCAGGCUGCCCCCGGGGUCUGCGGCGCUGCCCAUCAUCGGUAACAUGCAUCAGGUGAUUCUGAACAAGCCGGCGGUAUUCCGAUGGAUCCAUGGCCUGCUCAAGGAGAUGAACACAUACAUCAUGUGCCUCCGUCUCGGAGCUACUCAUGUCAUUGUUGUGGCAUGUCCACAGAUAGCCUCUGAGGUACUACAAAAAAAAUGA
rnacentral:rRNA from 1 species